rfam:Poecilia formosa, whole genome shotgun sequence.
GUUCCUGUAGUGUCGUGGUUAUCACGUUUGCUUUACACGCAAAAGGUCUCUGGUUCAAAACCAGAUAGAAACA